rnacentral:sRNA from 1 species
CCGACGCGGAUUACGGUGG